GGCCUUCGGGUUGUAAACUACUGUCACCGGUUAAGAACGGGUGUAGGUCGAACAGGCCUGCAUUUUGACAAAGGCCGGUGAGGAAGCCACGGCUAACUACGUGCCAGCAGCCGCGGUAAAACGUAGGUGGCAAGCGUUGUUCGGAAUCACUGGGCAUAAAGCGUUCGUAGGCGGCUUGGUAAGUUGGAUGUGAAAGCCCUCGGCUUAACCGAGGAAUUGCGUCCAAAACUGCCUGGCUUGAGGACCGGAGGGGAGAGUGGAAUUCCUGGUGGAGCGGUGAAAUGCGUAGAUAUCAGGAGGAACGCCGGUGGCGAAAGCGACUCUCUGGACGGUUUCUGACGCUGAGGGACGAAAGCUAGGGGAGCAAACGGGAUUAGAUACCCCGGUAGUCCUAGCCGUAAACGAUGGGCACUAGGCGGUCGGAGUCCCGAUACUUUGACGGCCGAAGCUAAUGUUUUAAGUGCCCCGCCUGGGGAGUACGGUCGCAAGGCUAAAACUCAAAGGAAUUGACGGGGGCUCACACAAGCGGUGGAGCAUGUUGCUUAAUUCGAAGCAACGCGAAGAACCUUACCUGGGCUUGACAUGCUGGUGGUACAAACCUGAAAGGGUGAGGACCUCUUUGAGGAGCCAGUACAGGUGUUGCAUGGCUGUCGUCAGCUCGUGCCGUGAGGUGUUGGGUUAAGUCCCUCAACGAGCGAAACCCUUGUCGUUAGUUGCCAG
rnacentral:rRNA from 1 species